UGGGUACGCUACAUUCGGCUGCUGUGGAGGGAGCUGUUGGUGGAUCCUGCUUUGGAUGCUGACAAAACAACAGUUAAAGAGUCCAAGUUUCCCCAUGUUGCUAAAUGAGUCGGCAGAACUUGGACAAGUUGGACGCCUUCUACUGCAAAACUCACAGUCAUAAUGCAACAAAGGGAGAUGUCACCAUAGAUGUUUGCAGGCCUACUGGUGUCCAUUCCAGAUGUAAAUUGCGUGGAGUUGGAAAUAUUCUGAUGUGUCCAUGUAGGAGAAGGUUCAGUGAGAUGUACUGCAGUGAAUGUAUCAAAACCAGGCCUGUCCACUGCACACCAGUAUCUCCCCAAGUCUGACAGCUGGAGCUGACUGAUGGUCACAGUGAAGACUCCGUCCCCCGAGUCCACCAGAGCUAUCCUCCCUGACUCCACUCUUCUACCAGAUUGUACAGUAACCAGUAUAUCUUCAAUUCCUUUACAUGGAUCCUUGCAGAAGUAUUUGUUGUUUCUCCACGCAAGUCUGUGGGAACACUGAAACGAGACUUCUUCUCCCUCGAAUCCCUCUACAUUGAUGUCUGUUCCCUCUAUCCCAGCAGCUGCCAAAAUUAAAUCGUGUUACAAGA